UACGUAGGUGGCGAGCGUUGUCCGGAUUUACUGGGCGUAAAGAGCGCGCAGGCGGCUGGUCAAGUCCGAUGUGAAAGCUCCCGGCUUAACUGGGAAAUUGCAUCGGAAACUGAUCGGCUGGAAGGUGGGAGAGGGUAGCGGAAUUCCCGGUGUAGUGGUGGAAAUGCGUAGAUAUCGGGAGGAACACCAGUGGCGAAAGCGGCUACCUGACCCAUUCUUGACGCUGAGGCGGCGAAAGCUAGGGGAGCAAACGGG
rnacentral:rRNA from 1 species